GCAGACUAUACUCAUCGGAGUUAGCUUUUUAUCCUUCCUGCUGUUAACCAAGUACAUUGGGAAAAAGAACAAGAAGUUCUUUUGGGUGCCUGCAAUAGCUCCUUUGAUAUCAGUUAUUCUCUCCACCUUUUUCGUUUAUAUAACACAUGCAGAAAAGAAAGGAGUCCAGAUUGUGAAAAACAUUGAGAAAGGAAUCAAUCCCUCAUCGGUAAAUCAAAUUUAUUUCACUGGUGACUAUCUUCU